AUCCCGGCCCUUUUAAGGGCCACCCAAAUUUUACAAAAAGAAUCUG
rnacentral:ncRNA from 1 species